rnacentral:snRNA from 1 species
GUGCUCACUUUGGCAGCACGUAUGCUCAAAUUGCAAAGAUACAGAGAAGAUAAGCAUGGCCCCUGUGCAAGGAUGACACAUAAAUUUAUAAAGCAUUCCAUGUUUUU